GUCCAACGCGGAGUGUGCUCCUCCGGGGGUCCGUGGCCGGCGCCGCGGGCUCCAAGGUGGGAUGUCACAGGCCGAGAGGGGCAGUGUGUGCGCAGCCGCCUGCCUCGACGCUUCCGCCGGAUUCCCUCCGCCUCCGCAGACCAGCGCGAUGCGGCGCCGCAUUUCGGGGCACCUAAAAUCUGUUCUCCGACUGGGAGGCUUCUGAAGGUCCUCUCUUCAAUCAAGGCUCUCCUUUAAAGAAGAAAGAAAUCUGCAGGUUCUCCAAGUGAUGCUUGGGAUCGCCAUUCAAAUAGUCCCAGGUGAACGUGGGCUUCUGCGUCUUAGGCAUUAUUGUGAUGGCUACCACCAAUUCUCUGAUGUGGACGUUCUUUAGCCGGGGCCUCAGUUUCUCCAUGUCUUCAGCCAUUGCAUCUGUCACGGUGACUUUUUCAAAUAUCCUCAGCUCGGCCUUCCUGGGUUUUGUGUUGUAUGGAGAGUGCCAGGAGGUCUUGUGGUGGGGAGGAGUCUUCCUCAUCCUCUGCAGACUCACCCUGAUCCACAGGGAGCUGCCACCACCCAGGAAGGCUCUUCCACACAAGCAGCAGUAGCGCCAGCGGGCUGGGCGGACCCGCUGGAAAGACAGCGAUGGCGGCUCAGGCUCGGGCUGGCGUGUGGGGACUGCUUCUCAGGGCGAUCUGGGUGUGCAGCCUUCUGACCCUCGGCCAAAGAGAGAUGCUUCCCAGGGAACCAGGCCUGUGACCGAGCAGCCUUGCGGGUGGACAGCUCCGGCCUCUGUCAGGGGAAGUACACCGCAGCAUGUUCUGCCCGAAGUCUUCUCGGUCCGUCUGCUCGGUGCUGAUUCUCACGCUCCACAACCCACCCGGUGAGCCAUGGCAGGUGCGGGAGACCCUGGGGUUGGUGGGCUUCCUGUAUGGACUUGAAACCAUUGCUGUAACUGCAGUCCUGUUGCCUAACAAAGGCCUGUCAUGGAACUUUGGAAUCAAUGACUGGUGGGGCUUUCGACAACUUCACACUGAUAUGUCAGGCCAUCAGCGUCAUGCUUCUGGAUUAUGGCAAGAGAAGGAAAACUAGAUUAAUAAAUACUUUUUUUGUAAGUUAAAACUG